rnacentral:misc_RNA from 1 species
CGUUCUUCUGUUGUACUUAUCUGUAUGUGUGCGUGCUUGUGGAUGUGCAUUCAAGGCGCUGCAGGAGCGUUCCCUUCGCUGAAAUCGGGCGAAACGAAAGAGUCCGUCGCACAAGCACAGCACGCGGUCGCACCGCGCUGGAAGAGAACAAGACCAAUACGCAAUGCUUACGGGCAUGUUGCAGGGCAUUUUGGGGUCCGUGUCAAGCACAGGCAUCCGCGAGGCUGAGAAUGUACUUCGGCAAAGUUGGCCAUCGCUUCUAAAGCUGAAGGAUGAGGCGCAGACCCGGUUCUGCGCCGAUGCAGAGUCCUUCCUCAAGGCGCAGCUCACCAAUAGACCAGCGCCGUCCGAUACCUUGGCCAUCUUUACUACAGUCUACGUGACCGCGGUGCACGCCAUUCACUCUGGCCUUGCCGCGCCAGUCCGAUGGACCAAGGCGCAGGACAGCCCCUUCCGUCCGUCGAUGCCGGUUGAGCGCGUGCUGCCUUCACGCAGGGAGGCCGCACGAGUUGUCGCCAGUGUGUGCGAGCGGCUUCUGCUUGCCAACGCCAAGGUAGCCGGGGCGUACUUCAGCAAGCUGCUGCGUGAAACGGCCAUGGGGGUACCUCUUCUGGCCCUUGUGCUACGCGCGUACGGCGAGGCGGCGGUGGGGGUACUGUCGGCCCAUUCAGAGGACCCACCGUACCUCCAAAGCUGCAUCCAUCAUCUCGUUUUGGCAACAUACAAGUUUACCGUGGCCAUGUCUGACGAUGCUCUUACUAUCGCCCAUCCAAUCCUCCUCCACGUCGCCCGCGUGAGCGGUCGCACUCAGGACGCAAUGCAACUCUUGUGCCGUCCGAUCUACUCCGUCAGCCCAAUGCUGACGGGUAUCGGCUUGUCGGACUACGUCGCCUACCAUGCUGAGGCUGCGCUCCUGCUUGCUGCACUGGAGCAGUACGAGAGCGCCAUGUACGCCCUUACACCAGUGAGUCAGCUCUCUCCAACGCGCGGCAUGCCGGAGGGCGAAAAAGGAAGCCGUGGCGGAGCCGGCGAAGGAGACCUCCCACCGUGGCUAAACGAGCUCGAGUAUGAGGAAGCUGACGUGCGCGAUGCUAUCCCUCGCAGUGGCGGUUGCGCUGCUGACGCCAGCCGGGCUCCCGUCACCGGUGCCGAUAGCGCCCUCCCUGCGCAGCAGUCGGUGGUCCUCUACCCCUGGUACCGCACGGAGUGCGUCGGGGAGACGCGCAAGUACGCCGGCAGCACCGAUGCCAAAGACCGAAAGGCUGAGGUAAAAGCCGUUGUGUGGCGCGGCAUUUUGGUGCCGUCUGUGAUCGAACGCGAAAUGGAUCGUCGCGCUGUUACGUGGGCAAAACGUUUGGGCAUCGUGCUGCUCGCUGCGGCCUUUGGCGGCGGCAGCCCACGCGGCGUGAUGGCGCUCACGGCGUCGGCCGGGCGGCGGAUAGUGGACAACGAAGAGGCGUCGUCCAUAUGGACUGGCAUGGCGUCGGCGAUCGCUGGCCACGUGUGCUUUCCUCAUCCACUGUUUCGUCUCCUGACGGAGACAACUCCCGUGUCGCUCCGCUCCUUCGUGCACUUCGUCACGACCGACAAGACGGCGAGUGCGCGGGCCUACGCGGACCUUCUCGUAGCAAUCGCCCGACGCGAUGCAAACAAUGCUCAUCAGUGCCUAGGCAAUCCCGCCAAUGUCUCACUAUUUACAGCAGACCUCACGGUGGAUGUGGUCAGGGCAACGGUGCUGCGUGAGCUUCCGCGACACAUUCUACUGGAUGUGGCGCGCAUGUACGCUCAUGUGCCGAUGCAAAUGCUGUUGGACCGGUCACAACCCAUACACACGGCCGCUAAGGCCAAGGGCGCGACGCCAGCGAAUGAAAGAGCUGAAGAUGAGGAGAGACCACUGGAUGCCGCCACUGUGGACAGCAGACACGCGCUUGUGCAGCUGUUGGUCAAGAUGUGCUCCACCGGAGAUUUGGCCUCCUCUCACGUGUGCGUCACUGCAGCUCCCGCUGCUGAUGCUGCCGCCAAGGAACGUGCAACUUUUUAUCCCGUCGAAGAGGUGGCCAGGCAGUUGAGUAGGGGCACCGCCUCCUUUUGUGUGUCCACUGCCAGCGUGAAGUGGACGCUGCCGUCCUCAGCAGCGCGCUUGCAGCGCUGUGCUCAAGUUGUGCAGUUCCACAUCCAUCAAUACCCGAGCGUCAACCUCGGCACCUCUCUUGUGCCGAUGCUGGCCCAGCUGCAGGAGCUCCAGAGGGUCGUGGAUGCCGACGCCGAAGAAAUUUGUGACAUGGGGAUCGUUUAGGGCGGGGAGCGGGCGCACACGGUAUCGUGCCGAUCGAACGGUGAUGUUCGUGUGUCAUGUGUCGUCUUUUCUCUUCUUGGUGCUUGUCUUUUUUUUUCUCGCGUUCAACACACGAUUUUUUGCGUGUCUAGCGAAUGCCUUCGCUGAGUGGCUUCUACACACAACGUAAGUGUGCGCGGGUGUAAGCGCUGCUGGUCAUUCGCCUCUUGUGCUCCUCCGCUGUUUCACUUUCUUUUUUUUUUCACUGACCUUUGGUGGCCUGCGAAUGGGCGUGAGUGUGAACAUGAGUGCAUUGGUGUCUAUAGUGAAGGGAGGGAGUGUGGCCGUGCAUGCACUUCCGCAUUCGUUCUCGCUUAACUUCCAGGUUUGCAGCCGUCAGCAGUGAUUUGCCUGUGUGAGGCUACAUACAGGCAAGCACGUCAUUCGCUUUCUUGUGUGGGUGUGGCGUUUAUUCACUUUUUCGUCGCUGCUUUCCGCCCUUUCUCACUCUCUCGUCCCGGAUGUCGUGUGGGGGCGCCGGAGCCUGAGAGGCCACGCACGGAGGUGCCCCCACACGACAUCCGAGUGACGGAGGUGAAGAAGAAACACAAACGGAGUGGCAGAAGAAGCGCUGCCAGGUGUCCACCACCUUUGCAGACCGAAGAAAAAAAGAGAGAAUAACGUACGCAGACACCACGUUUCUAGCGCGGGUGUUGGUGUGUGUCUUCUGCGUCUGUGCCAGCGGGAAAUGUGCGGUGGCCUCUUUUCCUUUUGGCGCGGGGUGGGGUGCGGAGGGGCACAGCAAGUAUACGUUGAGCCGCAGUAGUAGCACCCUCUCUUUGCCACAGUGAACACCGACUCGGCUGGAACGG